rnacentral:rRNA from 1 species
GACGAACGCUGGCGGCGUGCCUAAUACAUGCAAGUCGAGCGGAGCGGAGGAUGGGUGAGUAACGCGUGGGUAACCUGCCCUUAAGUCUGGGAUACCAUUUGGAAACAGAUGCUAAUACCGGAUAUUAAAGGUAGGACCUGCGAUGCAUUAGCUAGUUGGUAAGGUAAAGUCUUACCAAGGCGAUGAUGCAUAGCCGGUUUGAGAGAAUGAUCGGCCACAUUGGGACUGAGACACGGCCCAGACUCCUACGGGAGGCAGCAGUAGGGAAUAUUGCACAAUGGACGAAAGUCUGAUGGAGCAACGCCGCGUGUAUGAAGAAGGUUUUCGGAUCGUAAAGCUCUGUUGGUGGUGAGGCGGUAAUCAACCAGAAAGUCACGGCUAACUACGUGCCAGCAGCCGCGGUAAUAC